rnacentral:rRNA from 1 species
AGUGAACGCUGGCGAUAGGCCUAACACAUGCAAGUCGAACGGCAGCACAGUAAGAGCUUGCUCUUACGGGUGGCGAGUGGCGGACGGGUGAGGAAUACAUCGGAAUCUACUUUUUCGUGGGGGAUAACGUAGGGAAACUUACGCUAAUACCGCAUACGACCUACGGGUGAAAGCAGGGGAUCUUCGGACCUUGCGCGAUUGAAUGAGCCGAUGUCGGAUUAGCUGGUUGGCGGGGUAAAGGCCCACCAAGGCGACGAUCCGUAGCUGGUCUGAGAGGAUGAUCAGCCACACUGGAACUGAGACACGGUCCAGACUCCUACGGGAGGCAGCAGUGGGGAAUAUUGGACAAUGGGCGCAAGCCUGAUCCAGCCAUACCGCGUGGGUGAAGAAGGCCUUCGGGUUGUAAAGCCCUUUUGUUGGGAAAGAAAAGCAGCAGGUUAAUACCCCGCUGUUCUGACGGUACCCAAAGAAUAAGCACCGGCUAACUUCGUG